AAUAUAUAUAUGCAUCUACACAAACACAAACAUACAUAUAGACAUACAUACAUACAUACAUACAUACAUAUAUAUGUAUCCAUACACAUACAAGCAUACACACGUAGGCAGUGCGCCUGCGCCGCUGUCUUACGUAAUGUGGGCGCAUUUGGUGGCUUUUGUUGUUUAUAUCGAAAUUUCAUCAUAUCACAGUAGGUUUCGAUGAAGUUUCUGUUUCCUUGAAGACAUCAGAUAAGAACGAAACCGAUCCAGAGUUAAUUUCCGUAGUUGUUGAACUGAUCACAAUUAUCGUAUCACUCUUUGAGCCAACAUUGUCUUCUCCUCACAAGAUAAGUAUUUUUUAAUCAAAUUUUUGAUGAUCACUACUUUAAAUUCUCUGUAUUAAACUAUCUUUUAAUCUUUUACUUGUUUCAGUCAAAAGGUUUCCCUCUGCUGCUUGGCCAGCAGUUUAUUCAUGAAGUUCAAGACAUCAUCAACAACAGUCACUGCUGAACGUAAUUUCUUGCCCUGAUGAUCUCUGAUGAACAGUAUGGCUCUGACGAUCUCUGACCGUCGAGAAUGUUUCUUUUGGAAACAGAUGAUCUGGUAGCUUCUGGUUGCCAUCAUAGGCUGCCAGUUCUUUCCGAUCUUGAACAGGAAGGAACUGACGACGUUCAACAAACGAACAGUCUCCAACUUAUUGUGUUUGGUGGCUAGGUCCAUGAAUACAAUACGUAUUUUUACUUCCGGUGCUGUAUUGGAAUCUUUCUUGCUAAUGGUAUCUAUAUUUAUGAGAUAUACUCUGUAUUUAACAAUGUAAUUCCUGACACGCAAAAUGACCAGCUGGUCACGACAAGAACGGCCUUCUGCAUAGUUUGUUCGAUCAAGGCUGAUUUGAAUAACGUUUACAUCGGUGCAAUGAAAAAAAAGGCCUCUGCACGUUCACACGAUUUGCGAAAAAUAGUAACCCAAAUUACCUUUCAAUUACAUUUUAAGUUAGAAACGAACACAUUGGAUUAUACCGUUCUAAAAAUAUUUGUUUACAUAUGCAUAUAUGUACACACACAGAGAGAGAGAGAGAGAGAGAGAGAGAGAGAGAGAGAGAGAGAGAGAGAGAGAGGGGGGGAGAUAGACAGAUCGAUAGAUACACACUCAUACACAUACACAAGUAUACAUACAAAAUAUUGAGAAAAUAUCAUUGUAUAUGUUACAUAAACUAAAAGAAAACAGACCAAAGCACAUUGUUUCUCUUAGUAUUAUAAUAUUAUGGUUAAAUGGAGGCGAAGUGGCUGAAGCGUUACCACACCGGGCAUAAUGCUCAGCGGCACUUUGUUCAUCUUUACAUUCUGAGUUGAAAUUCAGCCGAGUUUGACUUUGCCUUUCAUCUUUUCGGUGAUCGAUAAAAUACGUACCAGUUAUUCACUGGAGUCGAUGUAAUCGACUUACCCGUCUCCCCAAAAUUGCUGUCCUUGAGCCAAAAUUUGAAGUCAUUUAUUCUAUGAUGGUUUACUCGGAGUUCAUUAUCAAAACAUUUAUCUGCAGCACAGUGUCACGUGCAGUUUUAAAUAGGAAACGCUUAAUUUGGCAAACUGAAAACUUUCAUAAUUAGCACUGGCGAAGAAGUUCGUUGACUUGUAUAUAUUUCAUUAUCAAAAUUUAUCUUAUCACCCACCCCGCGCUCUCUUUGUUUCUCGCGAAUGUCUCUGGUUUUAGAAUUGCAAAUGUUACUGCUACUAAUUUUAGUAUUUAUUAUUAGAAAAAAGAAUGUUAUAAGUUAGACAUAGACGCAAUUAAAUAACAUUUAUGUGUUCUUCAAAGCAACAUUUCAGGUCAUUAUAUCUGCUAUUUCCUUAAGUAUUCAAAUUUGUCUAUAAUUGCACAUGGUUUAUAUAUUUUUAUGCAAUUUAAUCCUUGAAAAUAAUUAUUUAAGCAUUUGCCUAUAUUUAGACUAUUAUUCAUAUUUGAGGGAAAGAAAGAGAAAGAGGAUGUAAUAUUUUUUACCAUGGGUAGAUUUCAUAUAUCUUUGUUUAUAUUGAACUUAUUUUUUCCCAUUUGAUCUCUGGUAAACAUGUACUCAUGCACAUACAUACACUUAUGUACUGACAUAGAGGAAUGUAAGCGAAUAUGUUCAUAUACAUCCUCAUGUACACAUUCACACAGAAAAACAUUUGUAAAUUCUCAGCGACAUCUAUUUAAAAAGCAUGUUACAGUUACACAGCAUAGAUUGCGCUUUUGUACGUGUUUAUGUGUGAAACAGAAGGAAGAGGAGUCGUUGCGAAAACUGUUAUAUAAUUUCUUAUUCAUAUCUAUCUAUCUAUCUAUCUAUCUAUCUAUCUAUCUAUCUAUUCUUUUAUUCUUUUCUUUGUUUCAGUCAUUUGACUGCGGCCAUGCUGGAGAACCGCAUUAAGUCGAACAAAUCGACCCCAGGACUUAUUCUUUGCACAAGGCCCGAAAUUUUGGGGGAUGAGGCCAGUCGAUUAGAUCGAUUCCAGUACGCAAUUGGUACUUAAUUUAUCGACCCCAAAAGGAUGAAAGGCAAAGUCGACCUCGGCGGAAUUUGAACUGAAAACGUAAAGACAAACGAAAUACCGCUAAUCAUUUCGCCCGAGUGUCAUCCCAACACCUAGGGCAAAGAAGCUCACUGUAUACAUUGGUAGGCCAUAAAAAUAAACACACCAGAUUGUUCAUUUACAAAGUCAUGUGAUAGAAAAAAGAGGAAGAAAGAAAGAAGAGGAAAGAAAAAAUUUUUUAAAAAGGAAAAGAAUGCAAAAAGAUGCAAAGAAAAAAUUAUUAUUAUUAUUCGUUGCUGAUGCAUAUUAGCGUUUGUCUACAAUUCACUCUGAAAUCAAAAGAAUUUUGUCAAGUGGUGUAAAAGAAUUUUCCUCCUAAAAGACCUUGAAAAAAAUGUUUUGUUUUGGACAAAGUUCUUUUUUUACAUUACCGUAAAAAAUAGCGAUGUAUAUUUCACGCCAAACCCCGAAAAAUAGCUAUA